rnacentral:rRNA from 1 species
ACUCCUACGGGAGGCAGCAGUGGGGAAUAUUGGACAAUGGGGGGAACCCGUGAUCCAGCCAUGCCGCGUGUGUGAAGAAGGCCUUAUGGUUGUAAAGCACUUUAAGCGAGGAGGAGGCUCUUUUGGUUAAUACCCAAGAUGAGUGGACGUUACUCGCAGAAUAAGCACCGGCUAACUCUGUGCCAGCAGCCGCGGUAAUACAGAGGGUGCGAGCGUUAAUCGGAUUUACUGGGCGUAAAGCGUGCGUAGGCGGCUUUUUAAGUCGGAUGUGAAAUCCCCGAGCUUAACUUGGGAAUUGCAUUCGAUACUGGGGAGCUAGAGUAUGGGAGAGGAUGGUAGAAUUCCAGGUGUAGCGGUGAAAUGCGUAGAGAUCUGGAGGAAUACCGAUGGCGAAGGCAGCCAUCUGGCCUAAUACUGACGCUGAGGUACGAAAGCAUGGGGGAGCAAACAGGAUUAGAUACCCUGGUAGGAUAGCG